GGAGUUUGGUCCGUGUCUCAGUCCCAUUGUGGCUGAUCAUCCUCUCAAACCAGCUACUGAUCGUCGCCUUGGUGGUCCAUUACACCCCCAACUAGCUAAUCAGAUGCAGACUCAUCCCACGAGCACCGGAGUUUUCUACGAAUAGCAUCUCAGCUACGCGCAUAUGCGGUAUUAGCAGAAGUUUCCCUCUGUUGUCCCGCUCUCUAGGGCAGAUUCUCUACAUAUUACUCACCCGUCCGCCACUUAUGUAUCUCCGAAGAGACCUUAUCGUUCGACUUGCAUGUAUGAAGCACGCCGCCAGCGUCGUCCUCGAGCCACUGAUCAAACUACU
rnacentral:rRNA from 1 species